rnacentral:rRNA from 1 species
UACGUAGGCGGCUUUUUAAGUCGGAUGUGAAAUCCCUGAGCUUAACUUAGGAAUUGCAUUCGAUACUGGGAAGCUAGAGUAUGGGAGAGGAUGGUAGAAUUCCAGGUGUAGCGGUGAAAUGCGUAGAGAUCUGGAGGAAUACCGAUGGCGAAGGCAGCCAUCUGGCCUAAUACUGACGCUGAGGUACGAAAGCAUGGGGAGACAAACA